UCUGGCCUAAUUUCAUAAACAAUUAACGCAGACAUACCUUCAGAAAGCGGAAGAACGAAAACAGGAAGCUUGAAGUAAAAAAAAAGAGACAGAGAAGGGAGAAGGGGGAAUCGAAGGAGAAGAGAGGGGAAGGAAGUCGCCGCGCCCUGUACACUCGUCGCCGCUGUUACGUGAAGUCCGCCCUGGUGCCGGUUGAACAGGGAUGAGGGAGAGGUGUCGAGAGAGAUUGACGGAGAUGUUCACGUCGUUCGUCCUCGUCGCUGCCAUGCGUUGCCGCCGCUGCCAUGCGUUGCCGCCGCUGCCGUUAGUUCCACUGCCGUCGAGCUUGAAGGAGAAAGGGAGAACGACGCUGAGAGAGACAGAUUGAUGGAAGCCAAUAAAGCACAUGAGAGAAGGGAAGCCGAUUCUGUCACCGCCGCUGUACCCAGUCGCCGUCAGUGGAGCUCGCCGUCGCUGGAGGUGAACUGGUAUCGCGUCCUUGCUACCAGAGCCACGAAUGCCACUACUACUCCUCAAAUUACGCCCCUCUUCCAUUAGGGUUUGAUAUCUCAGACCCUUUGAAGCUACUGCCGUUCUGUUAAGGGUUCCGGCCGUGAAUGCUAGCACCAGCAUCACCAUCCUUCUUGUCUUGGUCUCAAUUUUGUAAUUUCUGAACCUAUCAUGCUUUUACCUUUGUUUUAUUCCAAUUUUGUUGAUAUCUGCCAAGUUGUUCUAAUUUCAUCAGUAUACAUACAUCUCUGUUUGAGUGUUUUACUGUUUUGUAAUUGCUGGAUUUAGUCUAAAAUUUUUGUCAAAAACUUUAAUAAGAGCCUUGCCCUUAACUUGUUUUACUGUUACCACAUUCAAGAACUUUAAUAAGAGCAUUAAGUUCAUCAGUUUCUGCUUUCCAGCUGGUAGUCAUUCCUGCUUCUCAGCCACCAGAAAUUUCUGCAUCACGAGCCCUCAGAGUGGCAAAGGAAUAUGAUGCAAAAUCCUCUAGAACAGUUGGUGUUAUCAGUAAAAUUGAUAAGGCUGCUGCAGAACCAAAAGCUCUUGCAGCAGUGCAGGCUCUCCUAUUAAACCAGGGACCCCCCAAAACAUCUGAUAUUCCAUGGGUUUCUUUGAUUGGCCAAUCUAUAUCUAUAGCUUCUGCACAGUCUGGGAGUGCAGCAUCUGAGAACUCUUUGGAAACUGCUUGGCGAGCAGAGACUGAAAGUUUGAAAUCAAUAUUGACUGGAGCUCCUCCAAACAAGCUUCGGAGAGUUGCCUUGGUUGAGUCUCUUGUUGGACAGAUUCGCAACCGCAUGAAACUAAGGGUUCCAACUCUUCUCACUGGGCUUGCCAUCUACUUUGCUUUUAUCCAAAGAACUAUUGGGGGAUUUUGAAGCUUGUGCUGAAAUGUUUAUACCACAGGAGCAGGAGGACAUGAUGUGAAGAAAAUAUGUUCUACACAAAUAUAAGAUGGGAUGAGUCUUAUAAUGAUUUUGGUUAUCUAAAUGUAUUAUUUUGAUGUGUUCUUUACUUUUUGAUAAGAGAUUUUAUCCGAUAUUACAUGUAAUGGAUAAAUUACAUCUUGUUUUGAUUAGUGUUGUAAUGGAUAUCUAGUUUUUAAUAAAACUUUUAUGAUUUAGAUUGAUUGAAUUUCUCAAUUUUAGA